GAGUUGUACAAAAGGAGAGUAGGUUGGCAUUUCCCUUGACAAGGACGGAAGAGGCCCUCGGGCCUGACAACAAGCAUUUAGUUAAGGCAUUGCCACCUACUUCGUAGCAUCUAAUCAUUAUUUAAA
ensembl:snRNA